CCUACGGGUGGCAGCAGUAGGGAAUAUUGCUCAAUGGGGGAAACCCUGAAGCAGCAACGCCGCGUGGAGGAUGAAGGUUUUCGGAUUGUAAACUCCUUUUGUUAGAGAAGAUAAUGACGGUGUCGCACUCCUCCUCCCGGGCUCCACCAUGGCGCGCAGCACCGCUACACAGCCGGGUACAAGCGUUACUCGGAAUCACUGGGCGUAAAGAGCGCGUAGGCCGGAUAGCAAGUCAGCUGUGACACCCUAUGGCUUAACCAUAGAACUGCAUUUGAAACUGUUAUUCUAGAGUAUGGGAGAGGUAGGUGGAAUUCUUGGUGUAGGGGUAAAAUCCGUAGAGAUCAAGAGGAAUACUCAUUGCGAAGGCGACCUGCUAGAACAUAACUGACGCGGUGGCGCGAAGGCGUGGGGAGCAAACAGGAUUAGAUACCCGAGUAGUC
rnacentral:rRNA from 1 species